rnacentral:rRNA from 1 species
AUACGUAGGUGGCGAGCGUUAUCCGGAUUUACUGGGUGUAAAGGGUGUGUAGGCGGGAUUGCAAGUCAGAUGUGAAAAUCAUGGGCUCAACUCAUGACCUGCAUUUGAAACUGUGGUUCUUGAGGGUCGGAGAGGUAACCGGAAUUCCUGGUGUAGCGGUGAAAUGCGUAGAUAUCAGGAGGAACACCGGUGGCGAAGGCGGGUUACUGGACGAUUACUGACGCUGAGACACGAAAGCGUGGGGAGCAAACAGGAUUAGAUACCCUGGUAGUCCACGCUGUAAACGAUGAAUGCUAGGUGUGGGGACGUAAGUUGCGGUGCCUGAGUUAACUCAAUAAGAAUUCCGCCUGGGGAGUACGGACGAAAGGUUGUAACUCAAAGGAAGUGACGGG